rnacentral:rRNA from 1 species
GCCUACGGGGGGCUGCAGUAAGGGAUAUUGCGCCAAUGGGCGAAAGCCUGACGCAGCAACGCCGCGUGCGGGAGGACGGCCUUCGGGUUGUAAACCGCUUUUCCGGGGGAAGAGGGAGGACGGUACCCUGGGAAGAAGUCUCGGCUAACUACGUGCCAGCAGCCGCGGUAAAACGUAGGAGGCGAGCGUUAUCCGGAUUUACUGGGUGUAAAGCGCGUGCAGGCGGUGACGUAAGUCGUGCGUGAAAGCGCUCUGGCUCAACCGGGCGAGGACGUGGGGAACUGCGUGACUAGAGGCAGGUAGAGGCGUGUGGAAUUCCGGGUGUAGUGGUGAAAUGCGUAGAGAUCCGGAGGAACACCAGUGGCGAAGGCGACGCGCUGGGCCUGGCCUGACGCUAAGACGCGAAAGCAUGGGGAGCGAACGGGAUUAGAUACCCUUGUAGUCCC